AGUACUUCAACAUGACCGAAGGGAAGGUGCUGUUCACAGCCGAGGAAGAUGAGAAAUUGGUGGAAGUGUUUACGAUGUUUCUUUAUCUAUAUACAAGGACCAAACUGUGAAGGACAAUGCUUGGGGACACACAGCGGAAUUUGUGGAGAAAUCACUUGAAGAUUGAAGAAAAGGUGGAGAAACAUCGACACGUAUCAUAAAAGCCAAAGGAAAGGGAAAAUUACUGGAAGUUCUGCUCCCACUAAAGAGAAGACAUGGCCAUUGGCUGAUAUGCUGACAUUUUUGAACCAAGUGGAUAACAAACGAGAAAGUAUAUCCAACGUUCUGUGUGAAGAAUGUCAAGAUGAGGAUGGUUAGGCGAGUAGCAGUGAGAUAUCCCAAAUUCCUCCAAAUUCGUCAAAAAAUGCAAUUUAUUCAGAGAGCGUGGAAGAUAUCCCGUCAUUCAGACCACCCAGUAAAAGGGCACGACAAAAUGAUAAAAUUUUUGAGUUGCUGAUAUCUCGGCGAACUGAGAAAAAAACCUUACCUAAAACACUGGCUGCAGAAAAAAUGUGAUGAUAUUGUUGAUUCAUUCUUUAAAAGCAUUGCCAGCAGUGUUAAAAAACUUAGUCCCAAUUUGAUCAAUGAAGCCAAAAUGAGGUCCCUGCAGAUGGUUAUCGAUUUGGAAAAUUGCACAUCAUUACCUUGUAAUAUACAUCUUUGUCACUUAUCACAGAGUACUUCCUCAAACUCCACAACAGCAACGCUAUCUACUGAGGACAACGCAACAGUCGCCCAAUGUGAUAAGUCAGUUGCCAACUGCAACCUACCAAUAUCUUUAAUGCUGUGUUUAUUUAUCAUUUCAUAUUCGUACAUUGUUUUAAUAUUUAUGCUGUAUACAUUAUGAUGCAUUUUUAUUUUACAUACCUGAGUGUUAAAGCUAGUUUUUCGUCCAAACUAAUGGGGUGGGGAUAUCUGGGUGAUGAAUCCUUCUUAAGAUCUUCUCUCACGAGAUUGAGGACAUAGUUAAACUGCGCUAUGUUUAGCCUGAAAUACUCUCUAAAUUUCUUGUCAUUUUUAAACAAACCUCUGUAAUUUGUCAGUGUAUUCAACUUGUAAUAAUACUGUGUCCAGGGUAGCCCUAACAAUGCAGGGAGUCAGUCCAGUCGGCACGCCUCUGCCUCCUGUCACGUGGCCGAACCAAACCCUGAGACCCACGUAUUUUCUUACGGACUUAUCUACUACAUGAGGCAGACGAAGUGGUGUCAACACCUUAAGAGUACCUGGUUUGACAAUCGCCUUAAUAUCUUUUGCGGCCCCUGGCUAGAUUUAGUACGUAGUGCUCACCCAGUUUAUUCAAUAUUGUAUAAAUAAUCUGGCUCCAGGUAACAGAGUAGCCUACAAGCGACAAAGUCUCUGGUUUGACUGGUGAUUUUCAAAUAAAAAAUCACCAUAUAGAUAAUAUGUACAUAUUUUGACCUUUUGUCAGUUAUUUCCCACAUGGGUAAUUUAACUAAGUAAAUUGUAAGGUGUUUAGACAUUAAAUUUUACAUGAAUAACUUAUUAAUGCUUUAUGGAUGUGGCGCACGAGGGCGGCAGUUUUCAGAAGUUCGCGGCACAAGGCGGAUGUGUGGAAGCUGUAACGCUUACCUCACUUGAG